rnacentral:rRNA from 1 species
AGUGAACGCUGGCGGUAGGCCUAACACAUGCAAGUCGAACGGCAGCACAGUAAGAGCUUGCUCUUACGGGUGGCGAGUGGCGGACGGGUGAGGAAUACAUCGGAAUCUACUUUUUCGUGGGGGAUAACGUAGGGAAACUUACGCUAAUACCGCAUACGACCUACGGGUGAAAGCAGGGGAUCUUCGGACCUUGCGCGAUUGAAUGAGCCGAUGUCGGAUUAGCUAGUUGGCGGGGUAAAGGCCCACCAAGGCGACGAUCCGUAGCUGGUCUGAGAGGAGGAGCAGCCACACUGGAACUGAGACACGGUCCAGACUCCUACGGGAGGCAGCAGUGGGGAAUAUUGGACAAUGGGCGCAAGCCUGAUCCAGCCAUACCGCGUGGGUGAAGAAGGCCUUCGGGUUGUAAAGCCCUUUUGUUGGGAAAGAAAAGCAGCAGGUUAAUACCCCGCUGUUCUGACGGUACCCAAAGAAUAAGCACCGGCUAACUUCGUG